CCUACGGGUGGCAGCAGUGAGGUAUAUUGGUCAAUGGACGAGAGUCUGAACCAGCCAAGUAGCGUGAAGGAUGACUGCCCUAUGGGUUGUAAACUUCUUUUAUAAGGGAAUAAAAUGAGGCACGUGUGCCUUUUUGUAUGUACUUUAUGAAUAAGGAUCGGCUAACUCCGUGCCAGCAGCCGCGGUAAUACGGAGGAUCCGAGCGUUAUCCGGAUUUAUUGGGUUUAAAGGGAGCGUAGAUGGGUUGUUAAGUCAGUUGUGAAAGUUUGCGGCUCAACCGUAAAAUUGCAGUUGAAACUGGCAGUCUUGAGUACAGUAGAGGUGGGCGGAAUUCGUGGUGUAGCCGUGAAAUGCUUAGAUAUCACGAAGAACUCCGAUUGCGAAGGCAGUUCACUGGACUGCAACUGACACUGAGGCUCGAAAGUGUGGGUAUCAAACAGGAUUAGAUACCCGUGUAGUC
rnacentral:rRNA from 1 species